rnacentral:rRNA from 1 species
UGGGGAAUUUUGGACAAUGGGCGAAAGCCUGAUCCAGCAAUGCCGCGUGUGUGAAGAAGGCCUUCGGGUUGUAAAGCACUUUUGUCCGGAAAGAAAUCCUUGGCUCUAAUACAGUCGGGGGAUGACGGUACCGGAAGAAUAAGCACCGGCUAACUACGUGCCAGCAGCCGCGGUAAUACGUAGGGUGCAAGCGUUAAUCGGAAUUACUGGGCGUAAAGCGUGCGCAGGCGGUUUGCUAAGCCGAUGUGAAAUCCCCGGGCUCAACCUGGGAACUGCGUUGGUGACUGGCAGGCUAGAGUAUGGCAGAGGGGGGUAGAAUUCCACGUGUAGCAGUGAAAUGCGUAGAGAUGUGGAGGAAUACCGAUGGCGAAGGCAGCCCCCUGGGGCCAAAUACUGACGUNCAUGCACGAAAGCGUGGGGAGCAAACAGGAUUAGAUA